rnacentral:rRNA from 1 species
CGCGGUUAUACCAAGUGAUUAAGUUAUAUUUUUAGGUAAAAAGACAGUUAGGUUUGAAUUAAUUAGUUUAUUAAACAUUUAUAAAAAAGUAAAAUUUGUAUAUAAAUAGCUAAUCUAAGAAUAGCUAAACAAAAUACUGAAGCUGUGAUAAUCUUGAGGGAAACUGGGAUUAGAUACCCCAUUAUUCUUGAUUGUAAAUAUAAUUAAAUUUACCAGAGUACUAUGAAUAGUUAAAAAUUUAAAACUCAAAGGGCUUGGCGGUGUUUUAGACCUAUCAGGGGAACCUGUCUCAUAAUCGACAAUCCACGUAAUAUCUAACCUUAUUUUGUAAUCAGUUUGUAUACCGUCGUCGUCAGGUAACUUUUUAAAAUAUAGAAGUUAGCAAUAAAAAUUUUUGAAUUAAGACGUCAGAUCAAGGUGCAGCCUAUAGUGAGGAGAGGAUGGGUUACAGUUAUAAAAAUUAUAAUUACGGAAAUUUAAAUGAAACUUAUUUUGAAGGAGGACUUGAAAGUAAACUAAAAUACAUAAAUAGUUUGAAUAGGGCUCUG